rnacentral:tRNA from 1 species
GCCCCUGUGGCGUAAUGGUAACGCGUUGGACUUCUAUCCUGGAAUCCAAAGACUGCGGGUUCGAGCCCCGCCGGGGGUG